UACAGAGGUGCCGAGCGUUAGGCGGAAUCACUGGGCUUAAAGCGUGUGUAGGCGGACGCUAAGUACCUUGUGAAAUCCCACGGCUCACCCGUGGAACUGCUGGGUAUACUGGGCGUCUUGAGCCACCUAGGGGCCAGCGGAACAAAUGGUGGAGCGGUGAAAUGCGUAGAUAUCAUUUGGAACGCCAACGGUGAAAACAGCUGGCUGGGGGUGUGCUGACGCUGGAGACACGAAAGCCAGGGGAGCGAACGGG
rnacentral:rRNA from 1 species